rnacentral:rRNA from 1 species
UACGUAGGUGACCAGCGUUGUCCGGAUUUACUGGGCGUAAAGAGCGCGCAGGCGGUCGUUCAAGUCGAGUGUGAAAGCCCCCGGCUCAACUGGGGAGGGUCACUCGAUACUGAUCGACUUGAAGGCAGGAGAGGGAAGCGGGAAUUCCCGGUGUAGUGGUGAAAUGCGUAGAUAUCGGGAGGAACACCAGUGGCGAAGGCGGCUUCCUGGCCUGUUCUUGACGCUGAGGCGCGAAAGCUAGGGGAGCAAACGGG